ensembl:lncRNA
ACAGCCUUGGUCCACUUUGGGAAGUUGGAUUUAAUAGUAUGUGAAAAUGACUGAAACCAAAACCAAGUACAGAGGCGAGAAUUCUCAGUGGUUCCUGUGGAUAUACCUUCAUAAUGGAGCUCAAGGAAGAUGCUGGGGACCUUUCGUUUGACUCAUGUUCAUCCUCUGCGCUGUAUGAUGCCAGACUGACUACAUAUGCCAGUCUGUUCCAGGCCUGUGGAGGAUGUCUUCAGUGCUGAACAGGUGGAACUGAGAGCUGUAGCUAAUGAACUCAGUGAGCUCUAGGAGAGGGAUUAUAGGAAGUAGCCCUCAGGCAAGAAAAAAAAAGAGAUGAAACCCUGGACCAACAUUGUAACCCCACAAGCUGUGGGAAGCAACUACUCUUUUUCACUUGAAAUAUCCCUGUGAGCUGAUGUGGUCCAUUCUACACUUUGUGGUAAGCCUACAUUGACUGGCACAGACUCACUCUGUGGACGUGCAAGUCAAAUAGUAACAUGGAAAACCUUCUCACUUCUGCUUGAGAGAUACAUUAGAAGAGGAACAAUCUGUUGGGGUCUGCUGAAAAGAAAAAGGAGCUGACUGUAUUGUGGGGUUCAAAUAGCUGUAAUCUGCAGGCAGAUUUUAUUGAUUGUUUCCCUCCCUUUCUUCCCUAGAAGCUCAGCUUUUCUAGAAGAGAGUAAAGGAUGAGGAGUUAUGCUGACAUUUGGAAAAGGGCUAGGAGGUUGACCUGUGUUCAACAUAUCUGCCAUAAAUGAAUGCUCACCAUGAAGUAGUGCACCCACUGCAAGCAAUGCAGUGAAGUGUUCCAGGGCCAAGAGAGUUCCGUCAUGAAUUUAAGGAAAGGAAUUACUUCAUCCAAAAAGGUCUGGACACCUUGAAACAUUCUGGUAUCUCUAAGGAGGAGAUGAUGCACCUUAGGGCUGCCUUGACCUUGCCUGGGGCUUGAUGAUCCUUGAGGUCCCUUCCAACCCAAGCCAUUCUAUAAUUCUAUAAGGCACUUUCACAUUCAGCAACACCAGUAGAAUGCUUGUUCUCAGACGGAGCAAGUAACCUAUGUAUUGACUUGGAAAUUGAGGUGAGUGUUCCUCCACUUUAAGAAUAGUCAGGAUUAGCAAGUGGUGUGAAGGUAUAAAGUUGUUUGUUUGUUUAAAUGACAGCAUAAGGAAUAUCUACCUGAGCCAUUGUAAUUCAGUGUUUCAUUAGCAUGAGAUGGAAGUCUAUUGAGACUUUACUAUUCCAAGUCCAUAAGAAAAUGGGACAAGGCUCCUAAUUCUUAAUGCAGCAAAACACUUAGAAUGAAGGAGAUUUGAAUCCAGGUUUAAACCUAAACUAAAUCUUGCUGCUUAAGAGGAUUGAAGUUCAGCGUUUGUUGAGUUGAAGCCCAGAAACAAUAAAGCAAUAAAGCAUCUCUUCAACUUUUUUUUUUAAAUUUAAAUUUUGUUCUUCUAAAAUUCCCUGUUCAAAUCUGUGUAACCACCAUCCACAUUCAUUAUGGGAGAAGUGAUGGUAGUUCAGUAGCCAUAGUGCAUCCUCAGCCCCCUGAAUCACACGCUGAACUGAAAUGCUGAAAUAAGCAACAGUAUGGCUUACCCUUUCCUAACCUCUGACUGUAUCGGAAGGAUGAUAAUAUUGCUUAAACCUAAUGUAUAAGAAAGAAAUGGUUUCAUUGUUAUCUGAUGGAGACCCCAUAACAAUGCCACAGUGACAGAGGCUAUAAUGAGGAACUGUAGGAUUUCAAUGGCAAAAGGGAUUCAUUGCUAGUUCAUGACCUCAUGAAGAAAUCAUUACAAUGCCAUCAGAGAUAUGAAGUCGUUAUGGGAAAACUAUUUCAAAGCAAGUCUAGAAGGACCCGUUUGAAGGUGCUGUUAAGAAGUCAUUACAGUGUAAGGUUAUGAUGGCAAAAUGGUUUCAGUGAAACUCUGUUAUAGUCUAAAAAUAAAUUAAAUGGUGUCAGUGAAAAUUAUUCCCCUUCAAAACCUACAGAAAUUAAACAGAUCUCUCUCUAAACCAAAACAAUGGUAAAUUAGAAGUUUGACUGACACUUGAUCAGAAGGAGAGUAUGAGGGCUGUUCCAAAAGUAAUGCCUCCUAUGUUACUAUGUUGGCCCACAAUUUCAGAGGCAGAUGUCAGUGAUAUGACAGUAGAAGCUGAACCUUCUGACAGUAUUCCAUUACAUUUUGUUGUUGUGUGGUAGAUGGCAGUAGAGGGGCAGACUGACAAAAUAGCAUCUGACAUGGGAGUACAUAUGAAGCAAAGGUGCGGAAUUGAAUUCCUGCCUGCAGACACAUAGCACCCAUUGACAUUCACUGACCCUGAGGAGAAGGAUUUGGGAGUGUCAGUUGAUGAAAAACUCAACAUAAGCUGGCAGUGUGCAUUUGUAGCCGAGAAGGCCAACCAUAUCCUGGGUUUCAUCAACAGAAAUGUGACCAGCAGGUUGAGUGGUUCUGCUCCUCUACUCUGAUCCUCUGUGACCCCACCUGGAGUAAUGUGUCCAGAUCUGGGGCCCCCAGCACAGGAAGGACAUGGAGUUGUUCGAGCUGGUCCACAGGAGGGCCACAAAGAUGAUCAGAGGGCUGGAACAUCUCCCCUGUGCGGACAGGCUGAGGAAGCUGGGAUUCUUCAGCCUGGACAAGAGAGGGCUCCAGGGGGGACCUUAUAGCAGCCUUCCAGUACCUGAAGGGGGCCUAUAGGGAAGCUGGGGAAGGACUUUUUAUAAGGAUAUGUAGUGACAGGACAAGGGGAAAUGGAUUUAAACUGGAAGAGGGUAGAUUUACACUAGAUAUUAGAAAAAAAUUCUUUACUGUGAGUGUGGUGAGACACUGGAACAGGUUGCCCAAUGACACUGUGGAUGCCCCCUUCCUGAAAGCACUCAAGACCGGGCUGGAUGGGGCUUUGAGCAACCUGGUCUAGAGGGAGGUGUCCCUGCAUAUAGCAGGGGGGUUGGAACCAGAUGACCAUAAAGGUCCUUUCCAGCCUGAACCAUUCUGUUAUUCUAUGACCCUUGCUGAAAAUUUAUGGAGACCAGACAGUGGAUGUGAGCACAGUGAGGUAGUGGGUGGUGAAUUUCAGCAGUGCUGACAGCAACAGUGGGUCACCUCCACUGGUGCAGAUUUUUACGACUGUAGCAUACAGACUUUUGUUCAUCACUAGCAAAAAUGCAUAGCUAAUGCUGUUGUCUAUGUUGAAAAAUAGUGUUUAGUAGCUGAGAAUUUGCUUUAUCAGAUACUGUUAUUGUGCUCUUUGGAUGUGUUAUCGUUUCCAUUGAAAUAAAUAGGAGGCAUUACUUUUGGAGUGACAUACAGAAUUAUGAAUUCUUAAAGCAAUCAAAUAAAAUUUUGGCUGGAGUUACCCAGCUGGAAAAUAAUGUCACUGAGUUUCUAGGAUCUUCUUUAAUUUUGUAAAUUAAAAUGAAAUAUCAUCCUCGCAUCAAAGUUUAUAGUAAAUAUCAUUCUUCUGUAUCUUCCUUGUUGUAUUGCAAAUUAGUCUAUGAGCACUUUUUGUUUUUCUUAUUGCAUUUCUGACUUGCAUUUGUUCUGAUAGGGCAUAGAUCUAAAAUAAAUUAAAAUUCCACUGCCACUCCUAGCCUAGAAUUUUGAGUGACAGUUGAGACUGUCUGUCAAACUAAAUAGUCUAUUUCAAAACAGUAAAAAUCUCCCCACCCAAGACUCACUUCUCAUCAGUAAUGUGGUUAGUAUUUAUCUGGUUUAAAAUCCAGCCUGAUCUGAUCAUCUACUCUAUCACUGGUGCUGGAUGGGAAUAAAAUGUACAUUUAGGAGUUGUUUUGGAUGAUUGUACCCCACUACCGAAUAAUUAGAAUAAUAUUUUCACUAAAAGGAAUGUAUUCCUGAAGUACCUCUGAGAUACCAAAAAAAAAAAUCCAAAUUUUCUUCUUGUGUUUUUUUAUUUUCAGUGAAUAGCUGCCUAUCUGCUGUCCAAAAGCUCAGCUAGAUCUGAUGCAAUACCGUAGACUUUAACUUGGGGCUGCAUGAAUAUUGUGUCAUUUGGGUGCUCACUGCAACUUGGAAGAGAAGAGGAUAUCCAGCACCAUGAGGACAGAAAGUUUCCUAAGGCCAAGAAAACCUUUUUGAAAUGAAAGAUUUCAGCAAAAUAUUCCAGAUUUGACAACUUGGUAACGUCCCUUUCAAAUGAACAUGGAAGAACAUGCAGAUGAAGUCAAAUCUCCGUUGACUGGUUUGUGACCAAUGGGACAGACUUUCCAGGAAUCCUUUCACCUGCCAGCUGCAGGAACUAUUUCCCACGUGAUACUGAAAUUCAUACAGUUCCAUCAUACCUUUUUGGCGAUGAAAAGUACUGGAUGUAGUGUUCUAAAUGUCUGCCCACCAUGCAUUUAACAUGGUAAUAUAAUGAUGUUUCCUGGUUUGUUUGCUACACCUUUUCAGUUAAUUCCCUUCCAUAAUAAUAGUUUCUUCAUCUGACAAUUGCUGGCCACUGAGCUAUCUUUUUUUUCUGAGAACUGUUCGUAUGAAGUGAUCAUAAAAUGUACAACUUCACUGAGGAGCUUUUACUGCCUUUUUUAUACUUCUCUCUAAACUUACGCUAUUGGCCUCAGUUGGGCAGAGUAUGAGGCCAGACGGGCCUUACUCAGAAAGGCCAUUCUUAUGUUAUGUUCUUGAGCAGCAGGAGUUAAUAUAUAGGCCGUCAGUAUAUUACUUUUGUUUUUCCCAUGCUUAUGGUUUUGCAUUUAUCAAUGUUGCAGUUCAGCUGACAAUCCACUUGUUAAAGACUGGAGACCUUUUGGACGUCUCUAUCAUAGCUCCCUGGGAGACUACCUUAGUAAAAUUCCUCCAGAGUGUAACUGGCCUUUUAUUCUUGGUCAUUUACUCUGUCAUUUCAAAAAUAAUUUAUUUAUGCAAGGACUUUCUCUUCUUAUGUGUAGUAGGUUUGGUUCUUUAAGAGUCUAGCAAAGGAACAUCUUCAGAUCCUUUUGUAUCAACCUUCUCCUUGAAGGUUGAUACCUUUUCUCCGCUGCAUGCUGCACCUUGAGUACUGUGUCCAGUUUUGGGCCCCUCACUGUAAGAAAGACAUCGAGGCCCCGGAGCAUGUCCAGAAGAGGGCAACAAAGCUGAUGAGGGGUCUGGAGCACAGGCCUUAUGAAGAGCAGCUGAAGUAGCUGGGAUUGUUCAGUCUAGAGAAGAGGAGGCUCAGGGGAGACCUUAUUGCUCUCUAUAAAUACCUGAAGGGAGGUUGUAGUGAGCUGGGGGUCAGCCUCUUCUCUCGGGUGACUAGUGCUAGGACUAGAGGGAAUGGCUUCAAGCUGCGCCAGGGAAGAUUCAGGCUGGACAUUAGGAAAUAUUGCUUCUCUGAAAGGGUAGUCAGGCACUGGAAUGGGCUGCCCAGAGAGGUGGUGGAGUCACCGAGCCUGGUGGUGUUCAAAGAGCGUUUGGAUGUUGUGUUGAGGGACAUGGUUUAGCGAGAACCAUUGGUGAAGGGCGAAUGGUUGGACUGGAUGAUCCUGUGGGUCUUUUCCAACCUUAGCGAUUCUAUGAUUCUCCACCUGUUUUUUUUGCUCUUUCAGAGAACUUCAAUCUGUGAGACCUGAUUCCUAGUACAAAAUUAAAUUCUACACCUACUUGUUGUUUUAGAUUUGUAUCUAAUUCCAUGCUUUCUUCUAGAUCCAACCACUUUAUCUAGCAUGAAAAUUGUCAUCUGCAGUUUCCAGUUUCUCUGAGAUCUUUCCAAAAGUUGAAACAUUUUCAGUGCCAAAGCUAAUGUAGCUAAACUACAACUUGCAGAGCAUAGAUUUUUAUGGACAUAUGGAUGAGUUCAGUCUGGGCUGGUCUGUUCAGGAACUCUGUGCUGACUCUCAGCCUUGAAGCCACUCUUAAACAGAUUCCACUCUGCAGAGAAAGACUGCAAAAUGGAAUUCUUAUGUAUAAUGGACAAUAACACACACCAAUCAUUUAACUAGUUUGUUAUUGUCUUAUCUUUUUUUAUUUUUCCUGAACAUUUUGAACAUCACUGGUGACCACUGGCUGGCCUUCUAGUUCUGUGCUGAGAAAGAGGUGUGUUGUUUGGGUUUUGGUUUUUUUUUUUUUUUUCUUUCCAUAAUUUUCAUGCUUUUAAAAGAUUACUUCCUUAAUCGUUUUGACUUUCCUUAUUGUUGUUUGAUGUUUAAAUAUUUAAUUUAUUCUCUUUCUCAUUUCUCUUAUUUGGACAAAGCUUCUAUUUUCAGUGGAACACCUCCUUUAAAACUAUUCUUUGACAUAUCCACGUGUGAGGUUGGGGUAAGAACACUUCUAAAAUCUUUUUGCUGAGUACUGUGCUUUCGCUGUGAUGUCUUUUAAGUUUCCGUUCUGUUUACAAGCACCUUAUUCUUCCACUGCCACUUUUAUUUUGGCUUUAAUGGGCUUAUUUAUUUCUAUGCAGUUCCCUAUUUCCAGACUCAGUGCUGCAGUUUCUUUUUUGCUCUUACUGGGAGGUUGAAGAUUACCUUGUUACUAUAGGAUGCUUCUUUGACAAAGACUUCAUGAGCAGAGUUCGUGCUCAUCCAAGACUACACCGAGGUUACUGUCUUUUUCUGUGGGGAGUCUUGACCAGAAUUUUCAUCAGUGUCAGUGUUUGAUCUUUUUGCUGAUGCCAACAUUCUGCUUCAGGUAGUGAGAAAAGCCAAAGGCCUCUGGACUGGUUUCUUGUCUAAACAGAGGUUGCACGUGAAACAGCUCUGUUGUAGUGUGCAGUCAGUCUGGUCAUGUGAAAAUGACUUGGAAGAUGAUGGUUGUCCAAACAGCCCCAGCUGAUUUAUAUCCUCUCAUAGCUGUGAACUGAUACUCUUCAGUAGUUGCUUUGCUAGCCAUGAUUAUGAUGUAGCACAUGGGCAUGACGCAUAUGAUGAAUACUGAAGAUACAUGUACAAGCUGCAUGUAGUCCAAGAGCCAUAAACUAUUCCUCCUGACUUUAGAGGUAAGCUUUUUUGUCCUUGGGACACACUUGUGGCUGUGGCCAUCGAUGAAAUGCAUUUUUGUAUCCCUGCAGGCCAGUAGCAAUUUUUAGCCCUUUGAAAUGUGAAGGAUAUUGUGACUCCUUUACUGAUAGAUCUGUUCUUGGAUUGUCCCCUGGCUUGGAUUAUUCUGUGGUAGAUAAAAAAUAUGACUUUUUAUAGGGCUGUGAGUUCCCUAAAUCAGGAAAUAUCUUUUCUGAAUAAUUGGACAUCACUUAAUAGGCAUCACUGCAAAUGCAUUAAUAGUGUAACACCCUCUACUUCAUCCUUUUGACCUCAUCUACAUCAUGUAUAUUUAUUCUUUCCCUGAUAAAAACAUUAACCUCUUAUCUUGCCUUAGGUUCACAUAUUCAUUCACUAUUUGAGAAAACAGAGAGAGAGGAAGGAAGGAAGGAAUGUAGAGGGAGAGGGAGAGAGGGAGGGAUAAAGGAAGAGAGGAGCUUUUAGCAUUCUGUAGCCGAGCUGCCUGAUGUAAUGUGUUAGAGGAUAUAGGUGCCAGUAAUGUGCAAAGAGCUUGAAAAAUGACCAGACAGUGCCAAACCCACAGUGCAUGUUGUCAAGAGGGCUAACAGUAUAAUAAAUCAACCUGUCUCGUGUCAAGGGUCAGGUGGUUUGAUGUUCAAAGCUUUUCGGCCAGCCUGAUCCAGCCAGGCAGAUGCUAUUCAUUUCUGAGCCUCCAGCACUAUUAUGAUACUGGGAUCACCAUAAAGAAGUGCCAGCCCUGUGGUUCUUUGGUCUUUAAGUCAAGAUCCCAAAGGGGAAAAUUAUCCAGGAGAAGAGAGCAAAGUGCUGCUUAGUUUCAAACCUUAUGCUUUCCUCAUAAUUAUUUUUUCAAAGCAGCACUGAGAAAAGCAUGGAAAACCAUGUCAGAUGGAUUUUUCCUAUGCUUUCUGUAUAGGACAGUGAUGCUUAACCUUUUCUUAUCUGAGCAAGCCAUAUGGGCCCACCGUGAUGGGUGGGGACAACUGGCUCUGCCUUCCUCUGUUCAUGUGACCAUGUACCUACUCAAAAGAAAUGUCAUAUUUUGAGUAAGUGGAGGAUGUGAAGCACAAUAUAAUUAAACGAUCCACUCCAGUCACAGCUACUGUACCUUCCUUCCGUGAUGUUUAGAGGGGCUAGAGGGAGGAGACCCUGCCUCUGGCCUGCCAAGCUAGAAGGAGGGUCUUUCCACAUGUGUCUUACACUGUGUCUGCAGGGCUGGAUGAGUGCAGGGAAUCUGCUGUAGGCAUUGCAGGCCAAUCUGAAACUUACAUGUUCAGGAUCUUUAAUUAGCUUUGUUAGUUGGGAAUAUGCAAGGAGAAAGGUUAAAGCAGCAAAUCAGGCUAAUUACAGGCAGGAGGUCCCAGGAGUUCAGAUCUAGUGAUCUUCCCUGGCCCUAAGAGGGAAGCAGUUAACACUGUACUGUCUCUGCCAGUGCCACAGGGCUGCUGUUUUCCCAGUCUUUGGGCUUUAAGAGUGGUAACUCCUGCUUCCUUCAGAACGCCACACAUCUGCAACUGUAAAACUGGGGGCUCUAUAGGCACCAACACAGUGUCCCAAAUUAUCAUAGAAUGGCUUGGGUUUAAAAGGACUCAUCUCUUAGCAAAUUCAUUUCUAAUAGCCUCUUCCCAUUGUUGUAGAAACACUUCUGCACAUUUUCCCCCUCUCCAGCUACAUCAUCAGUGCACUGUUAUUUCUAGUGUUAUAUAAAUUAGAGUCCAAAAUAUUGAAACUAAAAUGUCAUGGGGGAAGUUGGGUUAAAGGAGGCAGCUGAGGUACUGAAACAUCCAAGUGUCAGAGGCAAACUGACAUGAGGACCAAUAACAUGGAGCAAAAAUGCUGGUAGACAUGUUACACAGCAAGUGAUUUUGUAGCAGAUAACAAAUUCUAGAAGAGUAGUUGGGUGAAUUCUGUAUCAGCAGAUACAGAGGAAAUUUCAAUGAUAAUCUGUUGUUGUCCAAAGAGCAAGCAAAAAUAAAACACAUCAGAUACCCAAAAGAAAAUCAGAACUCCAACCCAAAGAAUCCAAAACAAUGAAUACCCAUCAGAACUAUAAAACAAUUAGAUUCAAACAGUGUCUACAGGGAAGAUUUGGUGCGAGUCUUAAAUAGUAGUAGACUGAAUUUGGUUAGUUUGUUUCCAGGAUUUUUCUCAGAGAUUUGUUAACUCCUAUGUUGGAGGGUUAUUUUGCUCAGAGGAACAAAUGUGGGUAUGAUGUAAGUCAUAACCAUAUGUAUUUUGUUUUAUCAUUUCAUAUAUCCUGCGUGGAUAUUAAUUCCACUGCAUGUUUCUACUUUUUUUUUUCUUCCAGAAAAUAACUCCCCUCACCAAGCCCCGAUGAGUACAGUGGUUGUCUUUUCUCAAAAAGGAAUAAGUCACAAUGAUUCUAUUUUUUUUUUGUGUGUGUGUGUUGUUGUUUUUUGUUUGUUUGUUUGGUUGGUUUUUUUUACAUACCCAAAUCCUGUGAAGGACUUUACCAAAUGAAGGUCAGCAGUUGUUGAAGUACUAGUCUGGCAGUAGCCAGAGUCUCCUGCAUCAACAACAUGGAACUAAGUCAACUUUUACUAGCUCCUUUCCCCAUCCACAGACUGCAUGAUAAUGCUUGAAGCCUUUAUAAAUGUAUUUGGGCAAUGUAUAAAAUGUCAUUUGUAUGAGUAAAUGAUUAUCAGCAGAGUGCCUCUCUGAAGGAUCGAAGUGUGAGACAAAAGACAAAAUACAGAUUUGAUCAGUUCAUGACUAUAUGUACAUAGUUAAGAUUUACAAUAUAAAGAUUAUUUUUUCAAAUUAUAAUGCCUGUCAAAUUAUAAUACUGUCACCGUUAAGAGUUUCUGAAAAUCCCACCUACAUAUUCCGGUAGGAAAUUAUGCAAAGGCAAAGUGUUAUGACAGGGAAGACUGCUCUAUCUGCAGUAGUUUUAGGCAAUGUAAUAAUAAAAAUAGAACAAUAGAUUGUAUCAAUAGAGCAAAGAAACAAACAGUGAAGGCAGAGGUCAGAAAGGACAACUUGAUGUAAAAAUAAAAUAUAUUCUUCAGCUAUAGCAGUUAAAUCAGUACUUGUGAUAGCAGAGUUGGACUGUAUUAUCAAGUCAAACUCAGACAGUGAGCAAGGGUAUCAUCUCAGAGACUCAAGGGGAAAACUAUGGAUUAGAACAUGGAAAGAAAAUAUAAGGGAAGAAAAUAUUCAAGGUGUGAAAAACUAUUUCUGCCAGUGGUUAACUGAGGUGAAAUUUUUUGAGGUUUCCAUCCUUCCCAUUGAAAUUUGAGGCCGUCACUAUAUGAUAUGUUGUCUUUGGCAGCAAAGCUGGCUAGAAAGUUCCCGAGAUCCACUGCCAUUUCAUUGCUACAUGUGUUUGUUAAUAAAUGCUUAUGUCUCUGCGCUGCUGACAGGUGACUCAGAUGGUAUGCAGUCAAAACAGCCAUUCAAAACUUUUCAGUCUGAAAAAACAAAGGCUCUCUGACCUGAACCAGUUUAGAAUUUGAGGUAGUGUUGUAGGCCACAACACGAGCUUCAGUGAUGAACCAGGAUAGCAUCUGGUAACGACAGGAGAUUUGUGCAAUCUUCCUCUUCAGUAGUUCCACUCAUACAGGUAUAUUUAUAGUCUUUGGGAUAACAAAUCUCGUGCAUCCUGAAAGUAAAUGCAUAGUCCCCAUCGAGUAAUAAAAGUACUUGUUUGUAUAUAGGGAAAUAUAUUGACUGUAAGCAAUUUUUACUUGGUAAGGGGGGAAUUGCCACCAAUAAAAAAGAAUUUAUUCAAGAUUCCUCUCAUGUCAGGUUGAUCAGCUUCACAGAAUGAAAGUGUUUUGUUGUUUCUUUCAGAAAAUGCAUGUGUGCAUGUUCAACCUGAUAUAGAAUAACAGAAUAAGAAAAGUAAGAGACAUUUAAGUUUUCAAAAUGCUCUCAACUAUUAUUAUAGCUAGUACAAUAAAUAUUCCAGUGUUCUGAAUAAACCUAAUACAGCUGUUCUUCCAUUCAAUUUGUGCUUGUUGUAGCUAUGCUUACUUAAGCUAUCAUAAAACAAAAUACAAAUGCUAAUUAAUUAAGGGUUGUACAUUACAACUAUUGACAGUUGUUAUGGUUCUUAAUGUAGUAGCUGUGGGUAGUGUUUUCUAGAUCUACAAGAAGGGAGUGAUUGCCAUCAAGCAACCUAAAACUAAGCAUGGACUCUGCAGCACCUUGUACACAGUCAGGCAAAAGAACAUGAGGAUUUUCAGGGCUAUUCGACAGCUGAGAUAAAGUAAAGAAUAAAAUCACCACAAGAAUUCUUAAAAAUGCAUUAGAGCUAUUUCCUACAGUAUUUUAAUGGUCUUAUGAUUUUCUUGAUCAUUUUAUUUAAAUAUUUUAGUGCAAUUUGUUUUAGUUUGUUUUUCAUGCUCCUAAUCCUUUCAAGAUCAGGUGCUGAGCAAUGAGGAUAAUUGGGGAUUAGUGGCUGGCUGCUGGUAUUAACGCACUGAGUUAUAAUGAGACAUCUGCAAUAUUUUUCCAGUGAGUAACAGCCAGUUGACCCUGUAGACCAUGGGUAACGAAGAGCAGAACUGCGCAUUUUGUGGCCGUCAGCAGCAAUGUGGGGGUGGUAUUGUACCCAGUGUAUAUAAAGAUAAAAUAUUUUUCCAUUCCUCUAUGGUCUUUGUCUUACCAAAUUAUUCAGGGAGCUGUUUGCCCAAGCAGCCUUUUACUGCACAUUGUGUGACGCACUCCAAACAGCAAUUAUUUAUGUGAUUUAGUACAAUAAACAGAUAUUUUUGUUACUGAGCAAUGUUAUGAUUUGCUACAACAAAGCAAAAACUUGCAGGUUUCUGCCCAGUCUAGGGAAGGGAAAGUUUGGUGACUAUGGGGUUUUCCCAUCUUUCUCUCAUUAUGCCCUUGUUUUCCGCAGGAAAGUGACCCAGAGCAGAGGGAUAAAAUAACCUUUGUAUCCUCUUGUACCUGAACAGCAUGAGCUGGUCUGGGGAACGGUCAGCUCUGCCCUUCAGACUUCAAUUGCAUCCGGCCAUGUAUGCUAUGCAGGUUUCUUGUUCACUGGGUGAUCUUGAAGUGGCCUUGCUAAAAGCUCUCUCUGCCAUUUCCAAAGGAGAUAAAUCUACCUAGAGCCCUGGGAAGCAGAAUUGCUCUUCUUUUUGAAGUGAAGGACCAGUGGUGAACUGGCAAUGAUCAUGACAGUGCCCCUCAUUACUCCAGCCCUCAGCACAUGAGCCCAGGCGACAUGCACUCUAUGCUCUGCUGAGGAAGAUCACAGCGAUCUUGAUAUGAUGGCACAGGACAAGAAUACAUAGACUUGGCUGGAUCAAAAGCAAUGUGCUGAGACUCUACAUCAUCUUGGUGCUUCAGGAGACUAAUUUCUGGACUAAACAGUCUUUGAAAUGAUUCCACAUCACGAGCUUCCGUCCCCACCUUAGUCAAGUCCUGUGAUCACCAAGGCAGACAAAGACAAGCACAGAAAACUGAGGACAAAUCAGGAGCUUCACAGACUGUUUUUAAUUGGGAGGAAACAAAAGAAAAAAUAUCACAAUUUGUACAAGAUGGUGAGAUGGACUCAUUUUAUGAGUAAUAAAAUAAACUUUGGUUCUCAUUUAUUCUAAUUGUCCUGAAAGAUCUUCUAGAGGCAAACAUGAGAGACACAAGACAAAUUACAAAAUUUUCAUCCCUAUCACACAAUUUGUCAUGUUACAGACAUCAGCAAAGAACUAACUUGACUCUGCCUUUAACGCAGGUCAUCUUCUAGAAGUCAUCUUAUUAUGCUACAGUUUUUAAGUUGGGCUGCCCAAAUAGUCUCAAUAUUUUACUGGUAUUGAAGGAAAAAAAUCUCAUGCUAAAUAUAGUGGAAACAAAGCAAAGAAAUAGAGAAUAAUAAAAAAAAAAAAUACCACCAGUCCCAAAGAGUCACUGAUUUUAUACUGAUUGCAUCUAGACUGACUUUUAAUGGUCUGAGUCCAGGAUUCCAUUAGUGUUUAAUAAAUGAUGGUAAUGAUAUCCUACCUAAACAAUGCACACAGAGCUCCCAUUGACUUCAACAUGAGUUCUCGGUGCAGACUGAUGGCAGGAUAUUCCUGUGACAGAGAUGAAUUUUCCAUUAGAACAAAAUGAGGAAGACCUGUCUCAGUCAGCAGAAUUCACAGCAACAAGAAAUAUUCCUUGGGGGCUCAGUGAAAGAUGGCCAUCCUGAGUGGUGGAAAGUAAAUUGGGUGGGAAACUGUGAGGCAUACUUGGACAGUUGUAAAACCAAUUAAAACCAUCAUGCAGUUAUAUUGAUGUUUAAUUUGUAUCAUCUGGAAACCACAACUUCCUUUCUCAUCACACCAUGGGGGAAAUUGCUGUUCUUUUUUAUAUGAAGGCAAAGAGUGCAUUUAAUAUUGGGAUAGAAGAGAGAGUGUGUACGUCUAGUACUAUGUCUUGAUUACCAACUUUCACUCAGAAUAGGGAAAGGAAAAAUGAAAUGCUGUUAGUUAUAAACAAUGGAGAACCAUUACCCAUACAGAAAUUUGGGCAACGACACAAAGAAUUCAGCUGAACGUUUUCCUUCAAGGAUUUUGUUAAAAAUACAGUCAAUGAGUUGAUGUGAAGUCAGCUUUGCAUGUGGCAGAGAGGCAGCUAAGUACAACAGGGGCAGAGAGAAACCUCUUUUGGCAUUGCUUUUAUUGUGAAAAAGGGAUAUAUUUUCUGCAAAAAAAAAUAAUUUUGAUUUUGUUAUCAAUUUCUUCUCUUGGAAGACUAUAUGUUUCACUUGAAUAUUUGGGUCAAAAACACAAAACUUUCAACCUUUUCUAAGGUAUUCACUGAAGGGAAAAGGAAAAGGAGUUAAUAUAAGAAAACACAAGUAAUUCAAUUACUUUUUUUGAUAGAUGUUUAAUAACAAUAGAUUGAUGCUAAAUGAACAUGUAUAUUUCCAGGAGCAAAUAUGUAAUUUUUGGAAUGCAUCUUAGAAAAACAGGAUGUAUUUGGCUGGGGAAAUACCUUUGCUUUUUAUGAUAUAUUAAUGAUCUUAGCAAAAAACAUCAUGUCUUAGAAUAGAUGAUUAAAAGGAUGAAGAAAACCAGCAUCUGAGUGAAAAAUCAAAGGCAAAAGUAAUUGUAAGUAAGAUGGAUAGCAAAUCUCACCUACUAGUGGAGUAAAUAAAAUACACCAGAAAAAUAUCUCUUCCUUCCCCAUUAAGUUGUUAUGCACUAGCAAUGCAUACUACAGGAUCAGGAUAAUUAGGAAAUCCCAUUAUUUUGUAAAAACCAUUUUUGGAUGGGCAGAACUGAGGUAUCUAUCUAAUAAGUGUGGAUUUUUUAAAUGCAAAACUGUCAGUUCAUGUCUCUACAGUGGUGCAAAUUAGGCACCCAAAAUCCAGAGUGGCUUUUCAGAAUUUUGAUCUGGAUUUCACUCCAAGCUCCUGGAGAAUUGUACUUUUUAUUUAGUAAGAUUCUCAGCUUUUAUUGCUCUAAGAAGUGAUCUUGACAAUUUUCUUUUUCCACUCACAUUAUGGCUUUUACAUGGCCUAGUGCAAAGAAUAUAAAUAUUGCUUGAGCUACUUAUAGGUGCAAAUGGAAAUGUGAAAAUAUUUAUGGCUGAAAUGAAAGUAUAAUCUGUAUUGCUUAAUUAUGAUAAUCCAGGGAAAUUAUUCUCGCAUAAUGCCCUAUAAAGCAGUAAAAGGAAAAAUAGCUAGCUGCUCUUUUUUGUUGCUUGCUUCAGAUAGGUCCAGGUAAGAUGUUAGUAAACUUGCAUUUCAUGUUGACUAUCUUGUUUAAGCUGUAUGUUGUAAAAGUAUAGUACUCUAAAUUACAAUUUCUAUUGCUUGCGAAGUGCUGGGAGAAGGCAUAGAUUUCAGUGUAAUAUCAUUCAAACUAAUCUCUGAAUCUGUAGGAAUUCUUGUUUACUUAUUUGUAAUUAUUUAACAUCUGUUGACUUUAG